CGUCCAAUGACAGCCGC
rnacentral:misc_RNA from 1 species